AACAGAUUUAAAGAUCAUGGCUGUUUAGCACUUGGUCAGAUAUAUUUUAAAUUCAGUUUCAGAAAUUUAUGCAUUCUGAGUAAUAUUUUUAAAGCCUAUACUAGAAUGUUGUAAUUAACAACAUUGGAAACAGUUAAUAUCAAACCAUUUGUGUAACAUUGAUUUUGAAUUGCAACAACAUUAGUGUCAAGAGAUUUUGAAUGUGGAGUUAUAUUACUUUUAAUGCAAGAUCCAUCUAAAACUAAAUAUGUCAGAAACAAAGUAUUCAAAAUGCAUUAUUCAGCCCUCUUUUACUUUAUUCAAAACAUUAAAACACUAAUUUUCAAUUUUUUUUGUUGGUUUAAAAGUACUGCUUCAUUUUAGUAUUUAACAUGAUGCUUCUUGGCUGCCAUUUCAACCAGUUCAGAAUGUGACCUCUCGUCCUUAUCUGAUUUUGUUGUUCUAUAAAACAAAUGAAAAAAAUCAAUAGUAUAGCUAAACAAUAAAAAAAAAAACCAUUGCAUAAAGCUUGCAUCAGGUGUAUAAAAUAAAGCAUUUUAGACACCCAUAGGUGAAGCUUAAUUUUGUAAAAUGGGACAAGUUGUUCCUCGGUUUCACUGUUUAUAAAUGAUAUGUAACAGCUUGCAUUUUUCUGGUUAUUUGUUAUACAUAUUGAAAUAAUAUGCCUUCAAAUUAUGCAUUUGACAUUUUUAACCAUAUUUGAUUGAAAAAAAUACAGACAUGUGUUUUCAGUUUUUAAUAUGCUCAGCCUAUGUUUUCCUGUCUGUGCAUCCUUCUGUCCGUCCAUUUGUCCAUUAGUCUGUCCCACUUCAGGUUUUAAAUUUUUGGUUCAGGUAGUAUAACAUUAAGUUGUGCUCACCUUAUCUGAAAACUUAAGUACAUGUUCUGGGUAAUACAUGUAUGUUCAUUGUAUUGUUAACAUUUUAAAUGAUGUGAUGAUUUACACUUGACCCUAAUUUCAGGGUUCACUGAAAAAAGAAAUGUUAAAAUGUGAGGGGAGCAUUUCCUAUAGACACAUAUUCUUGCUUUUUUUAUUGACUCGCAUCGUCUUUUUUGCAGAACAUUGUUAUUUACGAGGAAAUUAAAUUUAAAUAGAUUAUAUUUUUAAAAUAAACUGUGAUAUAUUAAAUGUUUGUGAUUUUUUAACAACAACAAAAAAAUAGCUUUUUGAAAUAUAGUUUGCAGUAGAUAAAGUAUAAGAUAUUUAAAAAUGUGUCUUUUUUAAUUUCUGAUUAUUCCACUGAACAAGGAACUUGCAAUUGCCAUGCAUACUUAUAGUUUCGUUUGAACUGUGUUCAUUUUGUAAAUUAAUUUGUGAAUUUGAUUUCACUCAACAUUACCUGAAAAUAAAGCAGGUUAAGUACAUAUACAUGUAAUUAUAAACCUAAAUAGAAACCAUGAAUUGAAAAGAAUAUUUUUUUGUUUCAAGUUGCCACAUCAGUGCCGGAAAGUUUUAUCAUGGUAACCUUCAGAAAAUUGGGAAAAAAAUGUUUUUGAAUAUUAGUUUCAGAGAUUUUUUUAAGGCGCCAACAAAUUUUCAAUAGCUAGUUGAUUUCAUAAAACUUUUUUGGAAAUAUUUUUUUUAAGAACAAUCCAUUCUAUAAGUCAAUUUAAUCCUUAUUCUCUUUGAGUUGUGAAUUAGUCAGUUUGUAGUUAUUUGAUAAAGGAUUUGCUACAGGGAUUUACAUCUUAUAUAUACCAGUUCAAGGUGCUUGGGGCACGGUGGACUACCUUGCAGCAUUAACAGUUUAUAUUCUCAAUGAAAUAUUUUUAGCUGAAUUUCCUAUAUCUUUUUAUUGUUAUUACUUGCACAAUCUUACUUUGUUAUUAGUUUAAAUGUGGUGUCCCCUUACUCUAUACUGUAAAUUUAGAGUAAAUGGGUAGCACAUAUAAACUGCUUUCAUAAUAAGAUUGUGUUAGUAAAAGUAAGAACACAUUUUGUUAUGUAUUAAUGAUUUGUACUUCAUGUAGAAAUAACUACAGGUAUGUUCCUAAUAUAGGUCAAUAUUGUUAGGUCUGUUAUAGUACCAGUAAGUACCAUUACAUUCCAAAUCUUUGUAAAGCUCAACUAGAAUAAUUGUGUUAUUAUAACCUUUCAUUGUAUGCAUUGUAGACUCUUGUAACCAUGUCAUAGAGUUUUAUUUUUUUUUUGCAUUUUAUUUGCUGGAGUAAUGUAGACUUGGAUAAAUUACAAAAAUACAAUGUAUAUUUUUUUUUUCCAAUGAAGGAAUCAAAUGGCAAAAUCAUAUUUGUGUGUUAAGUUCCAUUCUUGUGUGAGGUUUAAAUUAUUCAUAUACCAUUAAAAGUUGGGGAAAAAGUAUCUAGAUAUUUUUUUUUCUUGUAUAUCAGAAAAACCAACAGGAAAUUUCUUCUAAAGAUCAUCAUGUGAGGUCAUGAGGAUGCAAAAAGACACUGGUAAAAGAUACUGGUAAAAGCCAAUUACAUAUUGUACAGUUAUGUACCAGAAACAAAUAAAACA
rnacentral:lncRNA from 1 species